rnacentral:rRNA from 1 species
GAUGAACGCUGGCGGCGUGCCUAAUACAUGCAAGUCGAGCGAACGGACGAGAAGCUUGCUUCUCUGAUGUUAGCGGCGGACGGGUGAGUAACACGUGGAUAACCUACCUAUAAGACUGGGAUAACUUCGGGAAACCGGAGCUAAUACCGGAUAAUAUUUUGAACCGCAUGGUUCAAAAGUGAAAGACGGUCUUGCUGUCACCUAUAGAUGGAUCCGCGCUGCAUUAGCUAGUUGGUAAGGUAACGGCUUACCAAGGCAACGAUGCAUAGCCGACCUGAGAGGGUGAUCGGCCACACUGGAACUGAGACACGGUCCAGACUCCUACGGGAGGCAGCAGUAGGGAAUCUUCCGCAAUGGGCGAAAGCCUGACGGAGCAACGCCGCGUGAGUGAUGAAGGUCUUCGGAUCGUAAAACUCUGUUAUUAGGGAAGAACAUAUGUGUAAGUAACUGUGCACAUCUUGACGGUACCUAAUCAGAAAGCCACGGCUAACUACGUGCCAGCAGCCGCGGUAAUACGUAGGUGGCAAGCGUUAUCCGGAAUUAUUGGGCGUAAAGCGCGCGUAGGCGGUUUUUUAAGUCUGAUGUGAAAGCCCACGGCUCACCCGUGGAGGGUCAUUGGAAACUGGAAAACUUGAGUGCAGAAGAGGAAAGUGGAAUUCCAUGUGUAGCGGUGAAAUGCGCAGAGAUAUGGAGGAACACCAGUGGCGAAGGCGACUUUCUGGUCUGUAACUGACGCUGAUGUGCGAAAGCGUGGGGAUCAAACAGGAUUAGAUACCCUGGUAGUCCACGCCGUAAACGAUGAGUGCUAAGUGUUAGGGGGUUUCCGCCCCUUAGUGCUGCAGCUAACGCAUUAAGCACUCCGCCUGGGGAGUACGACCGCAAGGUUGAAACUCAAAGGAAUUGACGGGGACCCGCACAAGCGGUGGAGCAUGUGGUUUAAUUCGAAGCAACGCGAAGAACCUUACCAAAUCUUGACAUCCUUUGACAACUCUAGAGAUAGAGCCUUCCCCUUCGGGGGACAAAGUGACAGGUGGUGCAUGGUUGUCGUCAGCUCGUGUCGUGGGAUGUUGGGUUAAGUCCCGCAACGAGCGCAACCCUUAAGCUUAGUUGCCAUCAUUAAGUUGGGCACUCUAAGUUGACUGCCGGUGACAAACCGGAGGAAGGUGGGGAUGACGUCAAAUCAUCAUGCCCCUUAUGAUUUGGGCUACACACGUGCUACAAUGGACAAUACAAAGGGCAGCGAAACCGCGAGGUCAAGCAAAUCCCAUAAAGUUGUUCUCAGUUCGGAUUGUAGUCUGCAACUCGACUACAUGAAGCUGGAAUCGCUAGUAAUCGUAGAUCAGCAUGCUACGGUGAAUACGUUCCCGGGUCU